rnacentral:tRNA from 2 species
UAGAGUAUUAGCUUGUUUUGUUGCUACCAAAAUGUAAAUUAUUAUUAAUUAUACUCUGU